CCUACGGGCGGCAGCAGUGAGGAAUAUUGGUCAAUGGACGGGAGCCUGAACCAGCCAUGUCGCGUGAGGGAAGACGGUCCUAUGGAUUGUAAACCUCUUUUGUCGGGGAGCAAUGCCGGGCACGCGUGCCCGGUUGGAGAGUACCCGCAGAAUAAGCAUCGGCUAACUCCGUGCCAGCAGCCGCGGUAAUACGGAGGAUGCGAGCUUUAUCCGGAUUUAUGGGGUUUAAAGGUUCCGUAGGCGGAUUUUACAGUCAGGGGUAAAAUGUCGGGGCUCAACCCGGGCCGGCCGUUGAUACUGGGGAUCUAGAGUGUGCGAGAGGUAGGCGGAAUGCGUGGUGUAGCGGUGAAAUGCAUAGAUAUCACGCAGAACUCCGAUUGCGAAGGCAGCAUACCGGCGCCCGACUGACGCUGAGGCACGAAAGCGUGGGGAGCGAACAGGAUUAGAUACCCUAGUAGUC
rnacentral:rRNA from 1 species